UACACACUUACUUUAAGCCAACACUACUUGAGCAUUUUUGUGAGUGUGAAGUAGGCUGCAAGGCAACUGAAGAGGUGGAGAUUUUCACACUGACACGUAUUUUCGUCCUCCACCUUAAGCGGUUUGACAUGCUGGGCCAAAAGCUCUCAGACGUGAUGGACGUCCCGUCCGAGCUGGAUCUCUCUGCCCUUCCUGGGGUGGCUUCUCUCAGGCAGCAGUCGAGUGGAGCAGCGGGAACCCAGGAAAAACCACAAAACGAUAAACUGGGGGAAAACUCCAGUCCCCAGCCAGGAAUGUGCACCCACUGGCACCUACAGACUCCAGGCGGUGGUUUCUCAUUUAGGUGACAGCAUGGACCAUGGCCACUAUAUCAGUGACACAGCUGAGGGAGAAGGACAGAGCUGGUUGUCAUUCAGUGACUUAAAAGUAUCAAGAAGCACUGAGCCAGCCAUCCUGAAGAGCAGGACAAAAACAGCCCACCUGCUUUUCUACGUGCACAGUUUAAUUGCUAGGAGUGAACCAGAAGCUCUGACGUGAUGUUGCUCGGUAGGAUCAGACGCAACAGAUGACACAGGAACAGGGUCGUCACCAAAUCUCAACAUCAUCUGAAAAGCCUAAAUCAAAUAAAGAAUAUGCUAAAAUCUUUCUGAACUGA